UACACCACAUCUGAAACCCCUCCUUCAACGACCAGAACAUCUCAACCACUCCCUAAAUUUAACCUCGCCAAUACCUCCUUACCCAUAUCUGAAGCUGGACAAAUGAAUGAAACCACCUCCUCAUCUUCAGCCCCAUAAUCACCUCCUUACUAUAUCAUCUCAUCUGACACAGAAUUCUCUGACCCUGCUUCUCCCACUCUAGCCCAACUUCAGACUCAAAACCUUGCCUCACAACAACCUCCACCUGAACCUGAAGUAACCUCACCACCACCCACAGAACAACCAACCAUCACUCCAUAUGACGUUCAACCCUCUGACCCCAACACCUCUGACAUUACCCCUCCAAACACUUCCGCUGAACCUCAAAUUCUCAACCUAAGCCCUCAAAACUCUCCAUCUCCUCCAUCUGAACCAGAAAACUCCCUGCCAACCUUAGAGGAAGCAAUUAUGCUGUUUGCAGGAGCAUCAGUUGAAAAGGUCAAGUCUCUGACCAUCAACUCUGGCAUCAGUGAUGAUCCUGACUCUGUUCUGAACCAGAAAACUCCCUGCCAACCUUAGAGGAAGCAAUUAUGCUGUUUGCAGGAGCAUCAGUUGAAAAGGUCAAGUCUCUGACCAUCAACUCUGGCAUCAGUGAUGAUCCUGACUCUGUUAGGAUACACUGGAACAGAGUCAUUGGCUGGAUGACAUCUGAGGCCUUUAAGCUGAAGAACCUCUCUGAGCAAGUCAGAAACGACUUUAUCAGAAAUGCUAAGGUAAGACUACAGGAGCGCUUAGUCAGAGAAGCUGAGGAACAUGCCAGAAGGGAAGAAGAAGAAAGAGCAAGACAAGAAGAACUUCAAAGGGUAAAAGAAGCUGAAGCCAAAGCUCUAGCCGAUGCUGCUGCUGCUGCUGCUGAAGCUGAAGCUCUCCGUACUGCAGAACAGAAUGCUCUGACUCAGGGGGAGUCCUCUACUUUUUCCCCUCUGGUUAUCGGAACCCUUGAGGAGCUUCAAAAAGAGAAGAAGGAAGUCCGAGCCAGACUGGAUCAAUAGGACACAGUCAACGCCAACAUCCAGAAUCUGCUGACUCAACUGCUUCAGAGAAUGCCUCCUCCUCCCAACCCUUAGGCACUUAGGAUGUUUUUUUUCUUGCUUGUUGCUUUUAUUGUUUUGUCUCUAAUGUUUUUUUUGCUCCUAUCUGGAUAUAUCUAUAUAUAUUUUCUUCCUGCUUAUUUUUUUUGUUGAGUCUUUUUGAUUCUGACAAAAAGGGGGAGAAAUCUAACAGCUCUGAUGAAAAAUUGUCUAAUUCCUUAAAGUACUCUGCAAACAUACUAUUCAAUAAAAAUCUAUCUAACACUCUUGACUUAGAAAAUUGCAGAAAGGUAUCUAGAAACUUCACUGCUUGGAAGCUCUGGUAAGAACUUCUGAACUCCGAACUUCUGAACUCCCCAGCCUAUCUCAGGGGGAGCUCACUUCUAUCUGAUCUGAUAAACUCUUAUAUCUGAAUGUUUCAUCUGUCAUUUAAGUUUGUUUUGUCAUCAUCAAAAAGGGGGAAAUUGUAAGAACAAAAAUAGUUCUACAACAGAUUCCAGGAUUUUGAUGAUAACAAAGGAUGAAACCAAAAAUGGCACUCUAACGAAAAGUUUCUAAGUGUGCAGGACUCUGAACAAGAACAAAGGAAUUCUGAUCGCUUUAUCAGAUACAGAAAUAAAAUCAGAUGACAAAGUACCAGAAGAUCAGAAAGCAAUCUGAAAGUGAAAAACGCGCCCUAGAAGCUCUGACUCUUGACAAGAAUAAACAGAUCAGAAUAUCAGAAGCGAUCUGAAGAAGAGGCGCUCCAGAAGUUCUUGACUCUGACAACUAACGUAUCCAGAAUACAGAAUGCUCUCAACUUCCAUCUGAAGUCAAACACUGAUGAUCCUAAAAGAUCAGGACUAAUCAGAAGCUCUAAUGACAUUUUCUCAGAUCUCAGAUUAAUAGAGAACAUUCAGACUCUGACGAAGAAGUUUUCUUAUCCAGAAAGAGUAAUCGGCAACUAGCUAACAACUUCAAAAUAGAAAGAAAUUAUUUUUGGAGAAGAAGUUAUUCAGAGGAACAAACUUGCUAAGGCAAGAAACAACAAGAGUUAUGGCAAUAAACUCUCAUCAAGGAUAAAAAUAUUGCCCAUCACUACAUACGGUCCGUUUUCACCUAUAUAUAAAGACGCGAACCUCAUUAAAGAGAUAACCUGAAACACCAGAAAUACUCUACUCUCUCUCUUAAUCUUUCAUGAGUUUUUGCUCAUUACGUGAAACUUCUUACUUGGUCAAAAUUGCUGUAAUAUUUGCUUUAUCCUAGAAGCACUCUAGAUUACAAAUGCUGUUGUUACCUAAAUUGUUUUUUAUUCCUCAAGUGACUCUGCGCAGUCUGUAUACUUGGGAGGACUAAGAGAUCUUUCUCUUAGACGUUGGUUGUCAUAAUCUUUCAAGAUUAGUGGAUUAAGUCCUUUUUGAAGGCGAAAUCACCUUGGCCGGGUGGACUGGAGUAGCUUUGUGUUAUAAGCGAACCAGUAUAAAAUCCUGUGUGUUCUUAUUCUGAAAAAGGGCUUAUUUUCCAAAAUAAUUCAAACCCCCCUUUCUUGUUUUUCUCACCUUCACCCCUAACAUCCAUGGUACUCCAUAGGAACCGUUUUGAAUGUUCUUUGCAAGAAUAUGUGUUGUUAUCUUGAGAUUACUUGCGGAAAGAGGAAACGGGUUUAAUAGAUAAGUGUGAAAAAGGUUGGAAAUAGAUAAUUGUGAGAAAAUGGAAGGAAUAGAUAAUUAUGAGAAAAUGAAAGGAAUAGAUAAUUGUGAGAAAAAGGUAAUAGAUAAUUGUGCUCGCCAAGGAUUUGGGCCCUCGUGCCUACGUAUCCUCAUUCGUGCAAUGAGGAAAUCAGAGCUCCGUAGUUCGGGGAACUAGGACAGAUCUGUUAGUUGAUUUUAGUGGACAAUAUUAACAUUCGCGUUCUACUAUCUGUAGCGGUAAAUUCAUGAUCAUCAAGCUAUUGACAAGCUAGAGAUCAAAUAACAAGAAUCGCCACCGCACUUUUAUUGUUUCCAAGGGAAAAGGGAAAAAGUACGAACAAAACCCAAAAGUAAGAAGUUUUCAUAUCAAAACUAAUAAAAUGUCAGAGAUUACAGGUAAGGGGGUUGGUUACACAGAGGGAAGGUGUUAGCACCCAAAGUGUCCUAGGUACUCAUAGGGUGCCCUUUUUGUAUGCAUAUGUACUUGGUAUAAAGUGAUGCUUACAAACAAAUAGAAUGGGGGAUGAGAAAAGAUUUCAUUGAUUAUAUUUUUGUGUUUGACAAGACCUUCAGUCUUGUGCCUACGUGCCAACAUAAAAAUGAGGGAUCAAAAUCUCGUAGUUCGUGAUACAAAUUUCAAAGUGGAUGCAUUACUUUUAACAAAACUUAAGUUUGAAAGGCACAAAGGCCUAAAAAUGGUUUGAAUGAGUUAGUUCUUUUUUUUGCUUUUUUGAAAGUUUAGGUCAAGUAUAGUUAAGUUUAUUUACAAGUUUGAUUUAAGAAAAGAGGUUUGAAAAUGCAAUGGCAUAAUGCCAAAGUUUCUAUCUUUUUUGCAAAAGUGGUCAAAGUUUAGAACAAAAAUAGUUCACAUAAAGAAGAUUUUAAAAAAAAUGGAGAGAGAGAUUUUUGAAAUUAAAUAAAUGGGGAGAAUAUGAAGACACUACCGUAUGCACAAAAUUAAAAGUUGAGAGUUGAAAAGAUCUGACCAAAUGGGUAGCAAUCCAAUAGACAAGAAUGUCAAUAGAAACCCAGAAUUCCCUUGGACUUUUUAGAAUCAAACAACACAAUGCACAAUUAUAUUAUCUUGAAGAGCGAGACAUCAAAUAAAGAUAGCCACAUCCAAGCUUAUCAAUUCCAUGAUCUUCUUCAAAGUAGCCCAUGUAAGAAAUGAAUUCCACAAGUCACGGGUUUAAAAUAACAGCUUCACAAUGAUCAUGUUGCAGAUGAACUUAGAGAGAUCUUAAAUGAUGUAUCAGAUGAAUUUUCAAAUUACAAGCACUUGGUUCUUCAACAAGUUGGCAUUGGCCAAGUCCUUUAGCAUAGGAAGGUUGCCUAGAUUCUAAGUCCAUUUGUCCAAGGUCAAGCCAAUAGUCCAUUCAAAAGUUUUUUACGGUUUUUGUUGUUAUUAUUUACAUUACUGGUCAAAGCCACCCAAAAGCAAAGUAUACUCAAAACAAAAUAUAUCACAACAAUAUGGUCCAAGUGGACCAAAGUGAAAAUUGCAUUAACAUAAACAAUUAGAAUGAUAUGAACAAUGCAAAUGAAUAAAAGCUAGAAUUAAUGGCAUUAAAGUAAAGGACUUGAAUUAAAAGUUAGGAGUUAAUAGGUUAAAUGUUAGUAUUGUUUGCUUUUGCUUCUUAAUUGAAGUCAUUCUUUGGAGAACACAACCACACAACUUAUCAACAAGCAUGGAUCCUUGAACCAAGACAUCUUCCAAAGGAAGGAAAAAAGGCCAAGUUUCCACACAAUACCAUGAAAGAGGGGAGACUGACAAUCUCACUAACUAGAAUGCUCCUGCCUUUUAUGUCACAAAUUUAGCGCUAUGUUAAGCAAUCGUAAUUGGACUUAUGUAGAAGUCACAACUAUUUGAGGUCGGGCAAUAAAAUUUUGGUGUUAAUGCAUGUUAGAGACAUAGUAUAGUAAACUAUGCUCAUGAAACAUACUACACACAAAAAGAAUAUGCAAAAGGGGUGGCCUAAUCUCAUCCAUACUCAUGUCAAUUUUUCAAUCAACUAGCCUUAGGAUUUUGAGAUAUCAUAGGCCAAAUGGAAUGAAUGAAUUAAGAAAGGGAAUAAGAUGAAGUGGGAGGGAAAUGGAUCAAAACACAAAUUGGUCAAAGGAGUACUUUUACCAAAUUAAUAUCAUCCAUUCAUUUUGGGAGAUGGAAUGUACAUUCCAUCAAUCCCCUAAAUCCAAUGGUAUUAAUUUGACAAAGUCAAAUCAACCUUGACCAAGGCCCAACAACAAGAGUCAAACAUAAACAAGUCAUCACAAUUGGUCAACAAAUUUAUUUGGCAUUUAUUCAAAUAAAAAAAACUAAAAUAGUGCAUUUAAAUUUAAUAUGGUUUGUCCAAUUCCUAAAAUUUCAUCAAAACACCAAAUAAAUGGCCAUGAGAUUUAUCAUAGGUCAAACAAGGUCAAAGGACCUUGGAGAAAAAAUUUCAUGAUUUUUGGACAUUUAAAAAUAUUUUUAAACAAUUAAAAACAAAUGCAAAAUCAAUUAAUUCAUUGGAGAAAAAAUUUCAUGAUUUUUGGACAUUUAAAAAUAUUUUUAAACAAUUAAAAACAAAUGCAAAAUCAAUUAAUUCAUGAAAAAUAUUAAUAAUGAUCCAAAAAAUAAUUUUAAUUCAGAAUAUGGAAGAGGAAAAUAUUUGAAAUUUUUUGGUGAAAGUCUCAUAUUUUUUGGAUCAAUAUUAAAUUUAAUAUGAAUUAUUGAAAAUAAUGCAAUUAAAAUGAAAAUUAAAAUAUCAGAAAAAAUGUGGACCACUUGAUCUCCCUCAUUCAUUGAGGUGGUAGAUCAAGUAGAUCAAAACACGUGUUCCACCGUACACUUAAGUCAGCGCGCCACACACAUGGUAUUCAAAAGGAACGCUCAGGAUUAUAUCAUUUUAAAAGGAUCCUAUGGUUCAAAACCAUCCAGCACACCAUCGGCAACCAAGGACCGGUUGUCUUCUCCGGCGAACCUCGCCGGACUGGUUCAGUCAUAACCAUCACCAAAAUUAAAAACAAGGACAUAAUUUCAAAUUAAAAAUGGCACUGAGUUCGAAUCUAGCCUCAAUUCACUAUAACUCCAAGUAUAUUGAGAGAUACAUGGAGUUGAAAUUUGAGGUACAUGAACUGAGUUGCUUUAGUUUGGCCUCAAAGCGACUCAAUCUUCUUGCCUACAUUGGUAGGACUUCAGACAACCAAAGAAUUAAUAGAAUUGACCAAGAAUGAGAGAGAAUCGAAGAGACCAAAAUUUCUGGAAAAUACCUUCAAUGGAGGUCUGGAUUCAACUGAUCUUGCUCUUGCUCGUGCUUGAUCUCACUCCAAAUGCUUGCAAAAGAAGAAUUAAAUGCUCAAAAGGUUGUGGAUCCCUGGAGAUUUGAAUUUCAAAAUAGUGGAAAUUCAAACUCAAAUUCAAGUGAAUUUCUCAGGAUUAUCCUUUAAAAUGUGAGGGUUAGAGGUAGGGAUCAAAGUUGGCGCCAAUGUGUGUGAAAUGCUGAGCAUAUGAGGCUCUAUUUAUAGUUGAAACCAUUGCUUUUUGCACACUUGAAAUCCAUUUUCCAAAUUUGGUAUUGUUGAUUCCUUAGGAUUGGCAUUAAUUUUAGAAAACAAAUAAUGUAAUCAUCUCUGUUGUUUUAAUAUGUUGGGUUGAAGAAAUUCAACAUCUGGACCAACAUGUCAUGUACGAUGUCACGAGAACAUCAGGUCUGUGACAUCGACAAUGUGUAGAAAACUGAAUUAAUUAAUUCAGUAUAUAUUCUGGGAUCAGCAAGGAUAUCUGGUGAAUAUCCUAACUCCCAUGUGGAGGUCUUGAAGACUCAAUCAGAAGAUAUAUAGGCUCAAAAUAUGGAGAUAUAUAUGGAGAGAUUCUAGGAUGAAGACCUUGUGUUUGUAGCAGAAUUUUUCUGCUGAAGUUGUAACAGCAAAGAACAAGUCUGCUGCGAUUUCUGAAGGCCCAAAUCCAGUUGGGUGAUUAGGUAUAAAUAGCUGAUUGUAACCUAGUAUUUGUAAGCCCUCUUAGAAUGAAAAUUAGGGGUGUGUGUGGAGGUAAACCUCCCAAUUUGUGGGAAGGUUACCAUAUGUUUCUCAGUGGUAAAAGCUGAGAGUUUUAUAACUCAAAGCCUGUAGGCAAGAGUGAUUUUGUUCUUGAAUGAAGCUGUGAAGCAAGUUCAAGGUGUGUUAACAUUACAUUGUAUUUGUAGUGAUAGGAAUGGAAACUGGAGGUUUCUAUCUAGGAUUCCUAGGUAUAGAUUGCAUUGGGUAGGGAUUAAGUGAAGAGUUGUAAACGGGUGAGUUUAACUCUGAAUUAUACUGCUAAUAGUGGAUCUUCUUCCUGGCUUGGUAGCCCCAGAUGUAGGUCAUGUUGGACUGAACUGGUUAACAAUUUCCUGUGUUUGUUUUCAUUCUGCAUGUGUCUUGUUACUGUCAUAACUCAGCUGGUAUUCCAGUCAGCUUACCAAGAUGAUAACAGACCUAGUAAUAUAGCCUUCUGGUUGAAUGUCAAUCAGAAUGUUGUAACAUUCAUCAGUGGAGUGUAUACUGAACAAUAAGCAUGUUAGGUUCUGUUCAGUAUUUAUUUAAGUCUGUUCUCUUCCAGGAUAACAGCCUUGGCCGAAGGAUCAUUGUGAAACUGUUAAAUUGGAUGGUUGGACAGUUGAUACUGAUGGUUGAUACUGAAGUAGAGACUAGUUGGUCUUUUUACAGUACUGCAAACUUAGCACAGCAUGGUCCAGGAACAUAACAGAAUCAACAUUGUUCUGGAUGUCGAACUGAAUGUUGUGACUUUCAUUCCCAACAGCAGGUGCUAAAGUGUAGGAUGAUUGGUUUUUCUGGUUCAGUAUUUUCUCAGGCUAUUCUUCAGGGAUUCAAUAGCUUAGAGAAAAACCGAGAAACCAACUACUAACCUACAAUUAAUGAACCUAACAAAUAGCCUAGUUGUUAGCAAUCUAAUAAGUGGAAAUUAGAUUAACGUGUUCAACCUUUAAUUCAGGAAAUACAAGUAAAAGAUAUACACACUGGAACAAUGUAACAAAUGAUGUCCACAAACAACAGUAAGACAUCAUGCUGAUAACUGUGGAAGAAAACAACAGAAGUGAGUGCUAGGUUUGAUUUCUGUUGAGUCUUUCUUCCUGAUGCACAGAACCAGGUGUUCAUACAUUCUGGGUGAAAUAGAAUGAGAUGUCAUGACAUCUGUGAAUUGUGCAUAUUAGUACAGUGGUUAAUAACUAUCUUGCUGAUUAGUUACAAUGUUACAUCAGUGUCAUGAGUGGAGUAGAACAUCUGAAUUCUGACUUACACCAGAAUUUCAAUUGGUAAUCAAGAGCAGGCAUCUGUCUGCUUCUGGAUGAGAUCAUGGGUGUUCUUUCUGGUAUCUUGCAGGAGUUAUGUUAGUACUGAUGCUGGAACCUGUGAAAGGUUCUGUAAUUUCCCUGAAUGGUCCUUGAAGUAGGUGGAUGGACUGUUCAUGACAGGAAGGUGUGUACUGUCUCUGGAGGGUGGCAAUUGGCCUGUGUAUGGGACAACUGUGCCAGUAUUGAAUCAACAUUCAAACUUGGUAUGUCUUGGAGGGCUGAUCUGGUGAAGUGUGUGUUCAUAGUUGAGUUGUAUUGUGAUUCCGCUUGCAUAAUACCUGGCAAAACUCAAACUCUGAUGGUGUUUCCCUCAUAUGGAUGAAAGGCUGCUGUAUUCAAGAUCUCAUAUAAUCUACUGAAGAUGUCAAAGAUACUUGAGUCUCCUCAAUCCACUCUCAUGACUUCUCACUUCAGGAAUGAGUAAGAAUCACUUAAUCACAUUCACUUCUUUUAUCACUGAGUAGGGUAUAUGAAGACCUUGAAAGACCUUCAAGGAAGGUUUGUUCCAAGGAGGUGGAACUAAUGUUCUAUGGCAAGAUGUUUAGAACAUGUUGUUCAACAAGUAUGCAGCUACUGGUUGAAGAGCAGAUGGUUUUAGGUAUCAAAACAAAGGGACACUUCUGUUUGGAACCACUCCUGACCUGGAAGAGGACAUCUGUGUGUGCUAAGUUGACAAGGGUAGGGUCAACUGUGUGUGUGCUCAAGAAGGUCACCUUUAGAAGUCUGAUCUCUAGAAGUUAGAGCUGGUUGAGAUGUGACAUUGUGCAAAUCCCCUGCUGUUUGGCAUAUUCCUGUUGAUUGAUCAGGGUUGGAUAUUGUUCCUGAUACUAUCGUUGUGUUGGAAGACACAGUCCCCUGGAUGUUAGUAGUCAAUAAUGGAAAACCUGAUUGCUAUAGCCAUUUAAGAGAGUGGAACCAUAAUCUUGUUAUUCAAACAUCAGGUUUCAGAAGUGGCAGUUUCUUUACGAGGGAGUGAGAAUAUAAGAUUCAGAGGUAGUUGAGGUAGUAUGCUCUAGCAAUGCAUAUUUACUAUUGACUGUGUUGUUUUGUAUCACUAAUCUUAUGAGUCAGCUGGAGCGUCUAUUGGUAGUGCAUGAGUAUGUAUAGGAUAUAACUCAUAGAGUUAGUUGCCACUGGUAGAUGGUGUAUUCAGUUGAGACAAUUUUAUACAAUGCAUGGUUAUUUUGAUGUGGAGCUUUCCAUGAUUGUUAAGUUGAGGGGAGUUUUGGUUAACCUCCUCCACAGUCUGGUCAGCCUAGGGUCUUGUUGGCUGUUUGACCUGUUGUCACAUGGGUUUGUGGUAUUGUGUGACACAUUUGCAAGGAAGAUCAUCUCUCUCAUUCUAAGGGUGAAUUUAAAUCUGGGAAGACUUCUAAAUUGUCUAGGUGCUUGCAAGCAGAAGACGUUGAACACAAGAGAAGUACUUCAAAGUUAUCUUAUGGUGGAAGUUCUGAAAGGAAAAUUGGGAAAGGAUUAAAGAUCGAUGUCUACUUGUGCCAAGUACAAGUGUUUAAUUGAUUAUACCUCUGGAGCUCAAGAACGAGAUGUCUUAAAGAUUUGAACAGUCACUUCUCAAGACCACUGUUGCAAGAAUCACAGGAAGGAUAGUACAUGGCUUAUGAUCUAUCCUUUUGGUGGACAGCAAAGCAUAUGAUCUCUGAAAAGGUUUCCUGGCAAAGAAACAUGAUUCAGCCCUGGUAUGUACAAGAAGAAGAAGACAUCAUAGUCUGAUGGUGGUUGUUGGAUCAGUUUAUUUCUGAUCUAGUAAGAGAAGUGCAUUUAGCUUUAUGCAACUGUGAGGAGUCAAGAACGAUGUCAGGCAGCAGUCUUGACAUCAGGAAACAGCCCUGCCUUAGCGAUAAUGGAAAUCCUUGUAGAGCUGAAGGGUUUAGUUUCUAACUGUCUUCUGAAACUCAUACAUCGACGUGUCUGAUUUCUUUGGAGAAGAAGCAGGGAUUCAAUCAAGGUGUGAGCUUGGAUGAGACUUAAACUGCAAAACCUGCAGAUGGGAGGUUGAAGGGGUUGGUUUUACGAUAAACUUUGGUUCCAACGAAUCAAGUCUAUGAGAACAUUGAAACUCCAGUUUGUGAAGGGAGGAAGUUCUUUCAAGUGGCGAGAAGAAGGACUGAAAUUCAACAGCUAGAUGUCAAAACACAAGUUGUGACAAUUUGGUUCAACAUCAGAUUCUUAGUUGUGAGUGGCUCACUUGAGAUAGAACAGGUCUACAGGGUUAAGAUUGGAUACUUCAAACAAGCUUGAAGUCGUAGUCUCACUUGAGAAGGUCAGAAUAGUCUUUGGGAGACAGUCUGAAAACUUGGGAGAGGUCAAAAAGCAGCAUUGACCUUUUCAUAUGAGGAUUCAUGAAGGAGGUAAUCAACCAGUGGCAUUUAGGUCAUACCUCAGAAGUGAAGUUCGAAGAAUCAAGAUAAUCAACAUUAUGGCAGCUGAUUAUGCUUGAGGAAGUCUGAGACAAUUACUCUUGAGUAAAGAAAAGUAGUAUUGAAAGACUAAAGGAGGUGCUUUCUAUUCAUCCCUUGGAGCUUGUGGUAGGAGUUCUGAGCUAUCUAUGGAAGAUUAUCUCUUGUAAUGGGAUGAAAAUGUAAUAUUCCCAAUGAAUGGCGGGUUCUUCUGAUCAACCCGUGACUCCAGUGAUUCUGAAGACUAAGAUGGUGUGCCUUGUCCUUGUUGUGAAGGAUAUCCGCUGAUGUUAGAACAUCAGUGAAGUGGUCUUCUGUUUGGUUUGAAGACGAGAUUGAUCACAGGAGUGUGAAUGGUGUUCAGCUAGAAGGGAUUGAACAGAGGGUGUGCUUUGAAGACAUGAAGAUGCGUCUUGUGUUUUCCAUUCUCAAGUGGUCUGGAUUCUCUAUGAAUCAGGAAGUAUGUGAAGGUCCAACUUUGGAUGUUGGAUAUGCCCAUGUUGAUCUCCAUCUCAAGAGGAGAGUGGGGGUGUCAAUGAAGGGGAGUUCUGGCCUUUGAAGCUGCAAGUAAUCAUCAAGCUUGUGGUCUGUGUACUCAGAUAACCAGGUAUGGCACUCUUGUCAGCUAUCAGGAUGCUGUGUCAAGGCUGAGUGAGCUGAAGAAUGUCUGACCGAGAUGUCAUGACAUUGCCCUAGACAAUGCUGCUAAUUCCUUCUAAAACUUAAGUCAGUAGAAUUAUGAAGGUGAUGUUGUCAAAUCUGGUAAAUCAAGAAUAACAGAUGCCCACAGCUGUGUGGUAGGGGGAGUAACCAUCUGCUGAAGUGGGGAAUUUGACCUGUAUCAGUGCCAGAUGUCAAGUCUCUACUGGAGGUAUGACAGGAACCUUGGAAAAUGUUGAAUACUAGCAGAAUACAGGAAAAAAGCCGCGUGAAAUGUUAAGACAUCGCGUGCAACGUGUCUGACUGCAUAUAUGGAAUAGUCUCCAUGCACUGGACCGACUGUUUUGGAAAAAGAACAGUCAAGAGCUAUAAAGGUAUUCAAAGAUAAUCUGAGAUUUUGUUGGUGAUUCUCUGACUGUUUCUCAGCAAAAAUUAAAUGCAUCUUGACCAAGCAUUUAUUUCUACCGAUUCCUAAGCACGGGCUGGACUAUUUAAAGAUGCAAUAGCCCUCUUCUCUCACAAGAAAAACACGCCAUUCUCAGAAUCAUGGGGUAUGUUAAGGUUUGGGAAGCUGCGCCUGGAUCUGGUUUGUGAAGGUGCUUUACAAAUGUGUAGCUAAAAAGGGGAGAGAAAUAUAGUCCUGGGGUUGAGAAUAAUCCAGAAGCAAGCCAACUGUGGAUGUGGCAGCAAACAGAAGUUGGCAUCAGGCACAAAUCCACCAACUGGGUUUACCACUUGUGUCUUGNNNNNNNNNNNNNNNNNNNNNNNNNNNNNNNNNNNNNNNNNNNNNNNNNNNNNNNNNNNNNNNNNNNNNNNNNNNNNNNNNNNNNNNNNNNNNNNNNNNNNNNNNNNNNNNNNNNNNNNNNNNNNNNNNNNNNNNNNNNNNNNNNNNNNNNNNNNNNNNNNNNNNNNNNNNNNNNNNNNNNNNNNNNNNNNNNNNNNNNNNNNNNNNNNNNNNNNNNNNNNNNNNNNNNNNNNNNNNNNNNNNNNNNNNNNNNNNNNNNNNNNNNNNNNNNNNNNNNNNNNNNNNNNNNNNNNNNNNNNNNNNNNNNNNNNNNNNNNNNNNNNNNNNNNNNNNNUGGUUUUUCUGGUUCAGUAUUUUUCUCAGGCUAUUCUUCAGGGAUUCAAUAGCUUAGAGAAAAACCAGGAAACCAACUACUAACCUACAAUUAAUGAACCUAACAAAUAGCCUAGUUGUUAGCAAUCUAAUAAGUGGAAAUUAGAUUAACGUGUUCAACCUUUAAUUCAGGAAAUACAAGUAAAAGAUAUACACACUGGAACAAUGUAACAAAUGAUGUCCACAAACAACAGUAAGACAUCAUGCUGAUAACUGUGGAAGAAAACAACAGAAGUGAGUGCUAGGUUUGAUUUCUGUUGAGUCUUUCUUCCUGAUGCACAGAACCAGGUGUUCAUGCAUUCUAGGGUGACAUAGAAUGAGAUGUCAUGACAUCUGUGAACUUGUGCAUAUUAGUACAGUGGUUAAUAACUAUCUUGCUAUAUUAGUUACAAUGUUAGAUCAGAUGUCAUGACGUGGAGUAGAACAUCUGAAUUCUGAUUACACCAGAAUUUCAGGUAUUGAUCAUGGGUGCAUGGGCAUGCAUAGGCCCAUAAAAUCAUUGCCCUAAGUCAACAAAUGAGUGUGAGAUAAUCUGAAUUCAACUUGGAUUGCAAGGUAAGUGUGCCUGAAGAUUUGAAAUUUGAUCCUUGCCAAGUUGUGACACCAUAUUCAUGCCAUGCGCAGCCCAUGCAUUCCUUGUCCAAAAUGAAUGAAUUUGAUCUCUUUGGAAAGGUGAGAUCAAGAGGAAUAACUUUCAUGUUCAACACUUUUCCAUUUGGAGUUUUUAACUUGAAGAAAUUUGAGGUGAAAGUUUGGAAAAUUUUGACAUAUCAAAUUUUUUCUAAGUGUCAAGCCAUAUGUCUCAAUGUUCCACCUUGCUUAACUUUUUAUAUGAGCUUCAAAUGAGAAAAGUGUAUUCCCCAAAGUUGUAACUCUUUCAAAUACCUUCAAAAUGGUCACCAAUUUCAUGUCAUUUGGAUUUGAAAUGAUAGAUUUAUUCAUUUUUGAAGUUUGGAAAAAUCACUUGAUCAAUGGUAUAGGUCAAAAAUGACCUAUAAUGUAACCUCAUAUCACAUGCUCAAAAAAGUUGAAUUAGCUCUCACUACAAGCAUAAACAUUGAAGUAGACACAUUGAAUUUGAUUGUGCAACUUAGAAACCUUUCAUCUCAUAAAAAUUGAGCAAGUUAUGGCCUUGGGAAGUUGACUUUCAAAUUAGGGUUUAAACAAAAUGACCUAUAAUGUUUCAACAUAGAAUAUGCUUUUCCAAGCAAAACAAGCUCUAGGUCUCAACAUGAAAGUUGUUUGUAAUGUUAUUUAGAGUAAGUUUUCUCUUGGAAUCAUUUUCAUAUGGUGAAAAUUGUAGGAGAUAGGGUCUAGGGAGACCUACCUUUGAUCAGAGGAAUUCAUCUGGCCAACCACCAUCAACCAACUUUCUAACUUCCAAUUAUCACGACUUUAUUGUUUCAUGGUAGAUCAUAUAUGCAUAAGAUGAUGAAUUUUGAAGUUUCCCUUGAGAAAUUUGAUCAAAUGGUGAGAUAGCUUAUUGAGGAAGUUACUCAAGAUACCUCUUUGUCCCAUUAUACUUUUCAAAUUCAGGCACUUUGAACUUCACAGGGAUCUUGAUAUUGGGCACUAAGCACAACUCAGCAGCACUCUUUCCAAACAAGUCCUUACCUCUUAGCGUCUUCAAUUCCUUGCGCAGCUCAAGAAACUGAUCUUUCAUUUCAUCCAUUUUCUCAUAGACAUCCGGACCCUCAGACGGCUCAAAAUGAUAGAUGGUAUCCUCUACGUGAGGCAAGGUGUGCACAACGGGAGGUGGCACAGACAUGACCGGGCUAGAUUCCGGCAUGGAAGCAAACGUAAGCGCAAAGCCUUCGGGCACAAAGUUGGGAGGCAUUCCCCACGGGAGUUCGGCAGGCAUAUUCGGCGCUAAAUGAGCGGUAGCAGCAGGCAUAGUAGAGGUAGUCACCUCUGAAGUAAUAGUCCUUGCGGGAGGAGUUGCAGGCGUUAAAUGACAAUUGCAACAAUUUGAUAUGACCAAAAAUCUCUUUUUAUUUAUAUAAAUUGGGAGGAUUACAUUGAGUACAAUUUCAGAAACCAAAAUAAAAGAUACAAGAGAAAAGGAGACUAGUCAUCCUAAGGAUCCCUAACAACAAUGUCAGAAGAUCUGGCUGUAGGCGCGUAUUUCCUUCGAAUGCGACGAAUCUCGGUCUCAAAAGAAGCCUUCAUCUGAGUCUUCUCGAGGACAAGCUGAUCGACAAUCUUCUUCCAAGCAACGGAAGGCUAAGGCAUGCUAGAAGAUGAAACCUCUGUCUCUUCGUCACUCGAUCUUCAAGUAGCUCAAUAAGUGCAUCUUUGUCCUUAGACUCCAACUGUAACUCUUCAUGCUUCUUGCUCAAAGCAUGGAAACACUCUUCCCACAUGUCUUUCUCUUGCUUCAUCUUGACGAGCGCGUCUUCCAACUCCUUUAUAUCUUGGUUAGGGAGAGUUAAUGGCUCAACCACAACCAUAGACAUAGGUCUUUCACAAGGAUAAGGCAUCUUCAACUCCAAAUCUCUCUUCUUCACCCAAAGAGUAUAAGCUUCCAAAGCUACACAAUUGCGGAGACCAAGCUCGGAUCUUCCUUUCCUAUGCACAUUAUACCAAGCAUGCACAAUCUUAUGCUUUAAAUGUUGGGGAUCUUUACCCUCUUGAUAGAAAAGACCUUUUAACAAGGUGUUAUUAGGUUUGUCUCUCAAGGGGAACCCAAGUUGACGACGAGCCAAAUCAGGGUUGUAGUUAACUCCUCCUUGUGUACCAAUGAGAGGCACAUUAGAGAAUUCACCAUAACAAUCAAUAAUCUCCAAACUGCUCAAAGAUGGGUCAUACCAAACUAUAUCAUCAUUAGUGAGAGACAUAAGUCUCUGAGACCACCUUAGAUAUUGUUUGUUCUCCACAAAAGCAGGGGUCUGAGGCAAGUGCGAAAUAAACCACUUGUACAGAAGAGGAGUACAAUAGACAAUCAUUCCACCACCCUUAGAAUUCCUUAGAUGCAAAGAGAAAUACAUAUCACCCAACAAAGUAGGCAUAGGAUUCCCAAUCAAGAAAAGUAUAAUGGCGUUAACAUCAACAAAACCGUCAAUGUUAGGGAACAAAGCUAAUCCAUAGAUGAGCAACACAACGAUAGCUUCAAAAGUGUCCAUACUACCAGCUUGAGCAAAAGAGGUAGCUUCUUUGAUGAGGAAAACAGAUGGCAAUCCAAAUAACCCUCCUUUCUUCAUCCAAUGAGCCUCUAUCUCAGACUUCUUCAAGUGAAGAGCUUCAGCAAUAAUACUAGACUGGGGAAUCUCCUCCAAUCCACUAAAAGUCACUCUACUAGAAACAGGUAUCCCCAAAAGAUGAGAAUACUCCUCCAAGGUAGGCACAAGCUGAUAAUCUGGGAAAGUGAAACAACGUUAGAGAGGAUCAUAGAACUGCACUAGCACACUCAAAAGUCCUUCAACCACAUCAGUAGACAAGAUGGACAGAAGCUUCCCAUGACGUUGUUUGAAGUCCAAGGGAUCUAAUACAAAAGAAUGCCUAUGCUUCCUACUCUUAAUCGGGACAUCUGAAACUGUACUUCUUAGGUUCCUUCGUCUACUAAUCCAUGGUCUGAAAUAUUUGACAAUGAUACCCUUAGUUCUUGAAAUUUUGUGUGAUGAAUGUUAUGAUGUGCAUGAAUGCAAUGAAUGCAACAAUCACUAAAAAUAAGGGAUCACACACAAAGGCCAAACAAAAGGUAAGGGAAUGAAUCAAGUCAUUGUCAAGAUCAACUCAUCCAUUUUGGUGGAUUAUGGUUUACACCUUAUCAACACCCAAGUUCCAUUGAUAUUGACAAGACUUGAUUGGAUCAACCAAGAAUCAAGGGUUUGUUGCAAGUCACGAGCAUGAAGUCUGGGUAAGAACCAUCCCAAAAGAGUGAAGUAAGGAUAAAAACCUGUAGAUCAUGUUCUAAGAAGUUCCCAGAGUCUUAAUUCCAUCUAUCGGAUAUUAUAGGUUAAGAUGACUGACUCAUCGACCCAUAAUAUUCUCAAGAGAAACUCGUCUGAGUGUAGUAUCGCGUAACAACUGUUAUCAAGUCUACGCUUGAAUAGUUUCCUCACUACGUCCUAAAUACGCCAAGAGGGGGUAAAUGUUCUACGAUCCUCAGCUUCUCGGACCCAAUUAGAGAUUGUAAUGCCUAACCACAAAUACUUGUGUGACAUUCCAAAUCCAAAAGAUUAUCCACUGAGCAGAUGGGUCUGAAGCCAACUUGUUAAGGACUACUCCACACAAGUCGAACAUGACUAUACCAUCCUCCUAUCUUAAUUGCACUCAAGUUCGGGUUAGAACUUAUCUCACCACUCAGAGAUCACCAAUCAUAACAAACAGAUUAUAUCACACAUACAUAUAUAUAAACAUCACAUAUAUACAAAUAUAUACACACAAAAAGUAGGCUAAACCCACUGGAGACUACUCCUCAGCAGAGUUACAACUUAAUUUCUGUAGCGGUAAAUUCAUGAUCAUCAAGCUAUUGACAAGCUUGAGAUCAAAUAACAAGAGUCGCCUCCGCGCUUUUAUUGUUUCCAAGGGAAAAGGGAAAAAGUACGAAAAAAACCCAAAAGUAAGAAGUUUUCAUAUCAAAACUAAUAAAAUGUCAGAGAUUACAGGUAAGGGGGUUGGUUACACAGAGGGAAGGUGUUAGCACCCAAAGUGUCCUAGGUACUCCUAGGGAGCCCUUUUUGUGUGCAUAUGUAUUUGGUAUAAAGUGAUGUUUACAAACAAAUAGAAUGGGGGGAUGACAAAAGAAUUCAUUGAUUAUAUUUUUGUGUUUGACAAGACCUUCGGUCUUGUGCCUACGUACCAACAUAAAAAUGAGGGAUCAAAACCUCGUAGUUCGUGAUACAAAUUUCAAAGUGGAUGCAUUACUUUUAACAAAAUUUAAGUUUGAAAGGCACAAAGGCCUAAAAAUGGUUUGAAUGUGUUAGUUCUUUUUUUGGUUUUUUGAAAUUUUAGCUCAAGUAUAGUUAAGUUUAUUUACAAGUUUGAUUUAAGAAAAGAGGUUUGAAAAUGCAAUGGCAUAAGACCAAAGUUUCUAUCUUUUUUGCAAAAGUGGUCAAAGUUUAGAACAAAAAUAGUUCACACAAAGAAGAUUUAAAAAAAAUGGAGAGAGAGAUUUUUGAAAUUAAAGAAAUGGGGAGAAGAUGAAGAGACUACCAGAUGCACAAAAUUAAAAGUUGAGAGUUGAAAAGAUCUGACCAAAUGGGUAGCAAUCCAAUAGACAAGAAUGUCAAUAGAAACCCAGAAUUCCUUUGGACUUUUUAGAAUCAAAUAACACAAUGCACAAUUAUAUUAUCUUGAAGAGCGAGGCAUCAAAUAAAGAUAGCCACAUUCAAGCUUAUCCAUUCCAUGAUCUUCUUCAAAGUAGCCCAUGUAACAAACGAAUUCCACAAGUCACGGGUUUAAAAUAACAACUUCACAAUGAUCAUGUUGCAGAUGAACUUAGAGAGAUCUUAAAUGAUGUAUCAGAUGAAUUUUCAAAUUGCAGGCACUUGGUUCUUCAACAAGUUGGCAUUGGCCAAGUCCUUUAGCAUAGGAAGGUUGCCUAGAUUCUAAGUCCAUUUGUCCAAGGUCAAGCCAAUAGUCCAUUCAAAAGUUUUUUACGGUUUUUGUUGUUAUUAUGUACAUUACUGGUCAAAGGCCACACCAACAAGCAAAGUAUACUCAAACAAAAUAUAUCACACAAUAUGGUCCAAGUGGACAAAGUGAAAAUUGCAUUAACAUAAACAAUUAGAAUGAUAUGAACAAUGGCAAAUGAAUAAAAGCUAGAAUUAAAUGGCAUUAAAGUAAAGGACUUGAAAUUAAAAGUUAGGAGUUAAUAGGUUAAAAGUUAGUAUUGUUUUGCUUUUGCUUUCUUAAUUGAAGUCAUUCUUUGGAGAACACUCAACCCACUAAUCACAAGCAUGGAUCCUUGAACCAAGACAUCUUCCAAAGGAAGGAAAAAAGGCCAAGUUUCCACACAAUACCAUGAAAGAGGGGAGACUUACAAUCUCACUAACUAGAAUGCUUACGCCUUUUACGUCACAAAUUUAGCAUUAUGUUAAGCAAUCGUAAUUGGACUUAUGUUGAAGUCACAACUAUUUGAGGUCGGGCAAUAAAAUUUUGGUGUUAAUGCAUGUUAGAGACAUAGUAUAGUAGACUAUGCUCAUGAAACAUACCACACACAAAAAGAAUAUGCAAAAGGGGUGGCCUAAUCUCAUCCAUACUCAUGUCAAUUUUUCAAUCAACUAGCAUUAGGAUUUUGAGAUAUCAUAGGCCAAAUGGAAUGAAUGAAUUAAGAAAGGGAAUAAGAUGAAGUGGGAGGGAAAUGGAUCAAAACACAAAUUGGUCAAAGGAGGACUUUUACCAAAUUAAUAUCAUUCAUUCAUUUUGGGAGAUGGAAUCUACAUUCCAUCAAUCCCCUAAAUCCAAUGAUAUUAAUUUGACAAAGUCAAAUCAACCUUGACCAAGGCCCAAGAACAAGAGUCAAACAUAAACAAGUCAUCACAAUUGGUGAACAAAUUUAUUUGGCAUUUAUUCAAAUAAAAUAAAAACUAAAAUAGUGCAUUUAAAUUAAAUAUGGUUUGUCCAAUUCCUAAAAUCUCAUCAAAACACCAAAGAAAUGGCCAUGAGAUUUAUCAUAGGUCAAAGGACCUUGGAGAAAAAAUUUCAUGAUUUUUGGACAUUUAAAAAUAUUUUUAAACAAUUAAAAACAAAUGUAAAAUCAAUUAAUUCAUGAAAAAUAUUAAUAAUGAUCCAAAAAGUAAUUUUAAUUCAGAAUAUGAAAGAGGAAAAUAUUUGAUUUUUUUUUUGGCGAAAGUCCCAUAUUUUUUGGAUCAAUAUUAAAUUUAAUAUGAAUUAUUAAAAAUAAUGCAAUUAAAAUAAAAAUUAAAAUAUCAGAAAAAACGUGGACCACUUGAUCUCCCUCAUUAAUUGAGGUGGCAGAUCAAGUGGAUCAAAACACACGUUCCACCGUGCACUUAAGUCAGCGUGCCACACAGUGUGUAUUCAAAAGGAACACUCAGGAUUAGAUCAUUUUAAAAGGAUCCUAUGGCUCAAAACCAUCCAGCACACCACCGACAGCCAAGGACCGGUUGUCUUCUCCGACGAACCUCGCCGGACUGGUUCAGUCAUAACCAUCACCAAAAUUAAAAACAAUGACAUGAUUUCAAAGUAAAAAUGGCACUGAGUUCGAAUCUAGCCUAAAUUCACUCUAACUCCAAGUAUAUUGAGAGAUACAUGGAGUUGAAAUUUGAGGUACAUGAACUGAGUUACUUCGAUUUGGCCUCAAAGCAACUCAAUCUUCUUGCCUACAUUGGUAGGACUUCAGAUAACCAAAAAAUCAAUAGAAUUGAGCAAGAAUUAGAGAGAAACAAAGAGAUCAAAAUUUCUGGAAAAUACCUUCAAUGGAGGUCUGGAUUCAACUGAUCUUGCUCUUGCUCGUGCUUGAUCUCACUCCAAAUGCUUGCAGAAGAAGGAUUAAAUGCUUAAAAGGUUGUGGAUCCCUGGAUAUUUGAAUUUCAAAACAGUGGAAAUUCAAACUCAAAUUCAAGUGAAUUUCUCAGGAUUAUCCUUUGCAAUAUGAGGGUUAGAGGUAGGGGAUCAAAGCUGGCGCCAAUGUGUGUGAAAUGAUGAGCAUAUGAGGCUCUAUUUAUAGCUGAAACCAUUGCUUUUUGCACACUUGAAAUCCACUUUCCAAAUUUGGUAUUGAUGAUGCAUGGGUGCAUGGGCACACAUACGGUCAUAAAAUCAUUGCCCUAAGUCCAUAAAUGAGUGUGAGAUAAUCUGAAUUCAACUUGGAUUGCAAGGUAAGUGUGCCUGAAGAUUUGAAAUUUGAUCCUUGCCAAGUGAUGACACCAUGUUCAUGCCAUGCGCGGCCCAUGCAUUCCUUGUCCAAAAUGAAUGAAUUUGAGCUCUUUGGAAAGGUGAGAUCAAGAGGAAAACUUUCAUGUUCAACACUUUUCCAUUUGGAAUUUUUAAUUUGAAGAAAUUUGAGGUGGAAGUUUGGAAAUUUUUGACAUAUCAAAUUUUUUCUAAGUGUCAAGCCAUAUGUCUCAAUGUUCCACCUUGCUUAACUUUUUAUAUGAGCUUCAAAUGAGAAAAGUGUAUUCCCCAAAGUUGUAACUCUUUCAAAGACCUUCAAAAUGGUCACCAAUUUCAUGUCAUUUGGAUUUGAAAUGAUAGAGUUAUUCAUUUUUGAAGUUUGGAAAAAUCACUUGAUCAAUGGUAUAGGUCAAAAAUGACCUAUAAUGUAACCUCAUAUCACAUGCUCAAAAAAGUUGAAUUAACUCCCACUCCAAACAUCAAAGUUUAAGUAGAAACAUUUAAUUUGACUUGGAAACCUUUCAUCUCAUAAAAAUUGAGCAAGUUAUGGUCUUGGGAAGUUGACUUUCAAAUUAGGGUUUAAACAAAAUGACCUAUAAUGUUUCAACAUAGAAAAUGUUUUUUCAAACAAAACUAGCUCUAGGUCUCAACAUGAAAGUUGUUUGGAAUGUUAUUUAGAGUAAGUUUUCUCUUGUAAUUAUUUUCAUAUGGUGAAAAUUGUAGGAGAUAGGGUCUAGGGAGACCUAGCUUUGAUCAAAUGAAUUCAUCUGGCCAACCACCAUCAACCAACUUGCUAACUUCUAAUUCUCUUGACUUUCUUAGUUCAUGGUAGAUAAUAUAUGCCUAAGAUGAUGAAUUUUGAAGUGUACUUAGAGAAAUUUGAUCAAUUGGUGAGAUAGCUUGUUGGAGAAGUUACUCAAGAUACCCAGUCAAACUAGGGUUUCCAAGGCAAAUCACCCUCAAACUCUUGAAGAAGACUUGAUCAAUAUAACAUGUAGAGAACAUUGGGACUCAUAUAUGAUGCUCAUAACCAUUCUUGGAUAAAUUCUUGGUUGUGCUCUUUGUUCAUGAGGGUCUCAAACCCUAGAUGUGAACUUGAUGAAUCAAUGGGAUCAUGUGUUUCCUACAAAAGAGUUAGGCAAAUACAAAGACAUAUUUUUGAUAUUUUGGUUAGUGAAAUGAUAAAAUACAAGUAUGAUACAAUCACAAAGUGCUUGGUGAUCUCUCCCAGAACAAACCCAAUGAAGUCCUACAAAAGAGUUAGGCAAAUACAAAGACAUAUUUUUGAUAUUUUGGUUAGUGAAAUGAUAAAAUACAAGUAUGAUACAAUCACAAAGUGCUUGGUGAUCUCUCCCAGAACAAACCCAAUGAAGGAUGGGUAAGGAGAAUGCCAAGGUAUGAUCCCAAUGUUAAUGCUUAUGAUGAAAUUACAUGAGGGAUCUUACUGUCAAAAUUGGGGUCUUACAGCUGCCCCAAUUUAAGGACAUUCUAACUGAGGAGGCGAAGGUUAAAAUCUUCAUGUCGACUCAGUAGAAUGGGCUUAAAUAACAACAUAGAGAAACAAAUUUUGGUCCCUAAGAGACCUCAUGAUACAUAUGACAUGAAUGCAAAAGUUAAUGCUCUAUGGGGAAAUAUUUCCACAAAGGAAAAAAAGGAUCAGAGAGACCGAAAAUCCGCAGGAGUAUAAUGCAUUCCGUAAGGAAAACUCACUGGGGAGACCGAGACUCUAGGGGGAUAAAAGAGGUUAUGCGUAGGCAAGGCUACGACUUAAAAACUGCUGGGGGACUCGAGGAAUUCCAUAUAAAAUGGAAAGACUCAGCCAGGGAAUAACAACAUUUGCAGGGAAUAUCAGUAAGGCGGGAUAAAACUGAGGUACUCGACUCAUGCAGGGGAAAAACAAUUUCACUAAGGAAAUACGUACUCAACUCAACUGGGGAAGAUAAACUUCAACACAGGAGGAGCAUAAAUCUAUUAUCCACUACCGGUUACUGGGUAAGGAGAUAAUAAAGAUCUGACAGAGAGAACAUCCGUCAUCGAUUAGGAUGAACAUAUCAAGGAUGACUCGCUAAGGAUUGCCAGGAGGGAGUAUUCACUACCGGUUACUGGGUAAGAAUAGCCUUGCUGGGAAAAAUUACAUAAAAUAGGAUUUACAACUACCAGUUACUGGGUAGAAAACCAAGGGUGAGAGUAUCCGUCAUCGGUUAGGAUGAACAUAUCAAGGAUAAACUCAACAGGGAAGAAAAUCCGUCAUCGGUUAGGAUAAACAUAUCAAGGAUAGACUUGCUUGGAAAUGUCAAGGAGGAUACCCAUCAUCGGUUAGGAUGAACAUAUCAAGGAUAUACCAACUGAACAGAAAGGGAUUACAUCUAUCGACUGCUGGAUAGAAGACCAUCAGAGAGAAAAUCCGUCACCGGUUAGGAUGAACAUAUCAAGGAUAGACUCUUUGAGGAGGAAAAUAGGAUUUAUGACUACCGACUACUGGGUAGAAAACCAUCAGAGAGAAAAUCCGUCACCGGUUAGGAUGAACAUAUCAAGGAUAGACUCUGCGAGGAGGAAAAUAGGAUUUAUGACUACCGGCUACUGGGUAGAAAACCAAUUAAAGAGAAAAUCCAUCACCGAUUAGGAUGAACAUAUCAAGGAUAGACUCUGAAUAGGGGACAAAGUAGGAUUUACAACUACCGGUUACUGGGUAGAAAACCACAAGGAGAAGAAAACCCGUCAUCGGUUAAUAUGAACAUAUCAAGGAUUAACUCUCUGGGGAACAAAAUAGGGAUUACAACUACCUUUUUACUUGGUAGAAUACUAAAAAGAGAAAAUCCAUCAUCGGUUAGGAUGAACAUAUCAAGGAUAUACUUCUUGGGGAAUAGAUCCACUGGGGACUCUACCGAGGAGAAAAAAGGGUACUUUUGUCGGAUAGUGGGCAAGAAGUAACAAACUGCAAACUAAGAAGAAUAUUACCAUUUACUGGGUAAUAGACUCUCAGGGGACCAAAGCAUCUAUCUAGGCAAGAGCUAGGAAGAAAACAGGCAAUCAAGACUCAACCCAAUAAGGACAUAAAUCAAGAGAAGUAAUUCCAUCCAGAUAAUCAACUGGGGAGGAAACUGAAAUAACAAUCAUCCACAAGGAAACAAAAUCAGUGAGGAAAAGGAGAAAGGUUAGAGUCUUUCUUCUUAAGGGGCUGACACUCUACAAUUGAAGGAGGACAGACACCAAAUUUGGUAUGAGGAUAAAAUACCACCAUAAUGGAGAAUAAGAAUCUCAAACAAAUCAAAUAUGAAGAUGCAUGAUAUGCAAUUAUGACAUUAUAUAAAUAUAUAUGUAUAUGUAUAUAUGAUGAUUAUGUUGACAAAACGAUCACAAAGGAUACAAAGGUGUCGCAAAGAAUUUGAACCAUCGGUACAAUCCUCGGUCAUUCCACAAAAUAUGGAGACAAUUGCUGGAGAACGAAGAGAUCAACAUCCCAAAGGUUCAAACCUAGUUGGGGAAGGAGGAGAUCUGCUGAGGACAGAACAUCCAAUAUGUGGGGAAUUUUAGGUCAACACCAUAAAAAUGGGAGACAACCGUACAAAGAAUAAUCAUAACAAAAGCUGCUCAGAAACCAGGAGGAAACUCUGACUGGGAGCAAGUUGAAUAUCGAUUGGUGGGGAAACCAAUGCGAUCUACUGGGGAAGACAACCACCUCUGAAGAUCAACCCUGCUGAGGAAAUACGAACUUUGUUGGGUGUCGUACCCCAAUUUUGUCCGGGCAUUUUUAAUUUCUAGUAGAAUUAAUUUCAUUUCGAUUUUAGCAUCAUACGCAUAGCAUGACAUACAUCGCAUCAUGAAUAACACCUGAAAUGUCAGUCAGAAUAAACUUAUUUGAAGAUACAGAAAAAUCGGUUGAAUCGUCAAAAUUUGAUAAAAUACUGUAUUUUUAAUAAGUAUGUUUUGUCUUGACAAUUUUAGUGUGACCAGUUCUUUUUGUACUCAAUUUCUAUUUUUUAACUGGUCAAAUAUUUAAAUUUUAGUUAGUUGUAAAUAUCAGCUAUUUUAAUUAAAUGUUAGUUGAUUUUUUUUAGUUACUUAAUUAAGUUAGUUAGUUUUUAAAAUAUUUUAAUUAAUUUUUAUAUAUUAGUUAGAUUUUGUAAAAUAUUAGUUAGAGCUUUUAAAAUAUUAAUUAGUUUUUUAUUAGUUAAUUUUCUUAUAUAAAUAUUAGUUAUUUUAAAUAGUAGUUAUUAGUUAGUGUUUUAAAAAAAUAUUAGUUAUUUAAUUAAGAAUUAGUUAGUUUUUAAUAUUGGUUAGUUUUUAAUUAUUAGUUAGAUUUUUGAACAUUAAUUAGUUUUUUUUUAGUUUAGUAUUAAUUAGUUUUUUUGAUUUAUUGUAAAUAAUAAAAUAUAAAAGGGGUAUGUAUAUAUUAUACGUUGGAUCAAAUUCACUAAAAACAAAAACUCAGUCAGUAACAAAUUCCUAACGUUUUUCUCCAUUGUCCCUGCCCCACUACUAACAACCUCUCCACUCUCAUUCCACUCACUAACAACAACCCACUCUCAGAUUCUCUCUCUGCUCUCACCUACAAAAACCAUUCACACUCAGUAAACACUCACGAAAACGCUCUCUCACUCUCAGCUAAAAAAAAACACUCCUCACAAUCCCUAAACUCUCCAAAUCUCUCACUCUCAACUCUCAGCUAAAAAACCUAGCCGCCGCUUCACAAAACCAACCCUCUCCGUCUGAACCCACAAACCCUUCGCUCUUCAUAUUCCUCUUCAUCAACACCAAACCCUACCACGCCGCCGCACAAACAUGCCUCCGCCAUCUUCACCGUCUUCGUCACCUACUCAAACCCUUUACCUUCCAUCAAACCCUUCAACUCCCGUCACAAACCCUCUACUCCGCCGUCAAAACCCAUCUUCAAAACUCUAGACCUCCGCCGUUAACCCCCUUUCACCAUCCUAAACCCUAACCACCGUGAAACGUUACCCUUAACCGCUCUUCACCUUCGUCAACAAAUCAAUCGCGUCGCCGCUCAACACCAAUUCCCUCGCCUCUGUUCGUACUGGAUCCGCUUCAUCAUCACCGAGGAUUCCUUUCGGUUCCGUUUCCGCAUGCCAGACGACAACUCGAGGCUCAAUCGGUGACUCAACCAACCUAGUAUUCUCAACUUCUGGUGUAAUCUGAGUCGUGGAGGUAGUUAUGUUGUUCUUUGUCUAUUGUCUCACUUCACUGGCUUGUAGUGGUAAUUUGUUUUAAUAGGUUUGUAUGACUAGAUCUUUAAUUUAGCACUAUGUUUGUAUAUUAGUGAUUGAUAUCAUUUAGGUUCACUUGAAGCUUGGUAUUGUUACUGUUAGCUAAUCUGCUAUUGCGUAUUUCCUGUUGCUAUGACUACCAUGUUUCUUUUGUUUUUUAUAAAAACAACACAGUGAUGUUUCCUCUCUUGUUUAUCUCACCUGUUUGCACUGAUAAAGAUAAUGUGUAUAUUUAAAGAUGGUUUGUAUUAGGUAGUAUGGUUUGUAUUUCCUAUGGGCCUUCUUUGAUUCUAAUUAUUAGAUAGGGUUUUAAGUAUGAUACCGUGGUAGGUUUGUACUACUCUCACAUUGACGGAACCAUUCAUCAUUCUAGUGUUAAACGUUACAAAUGGCAUUGUGUUAAUGUUGUUUUUUAAGCAUAUGGCAUUGUGUUAAUAUUCUGUUAAUUAAUAUUCUGAUAAUAUGUUAUGUAUAACCUUGGAUGGUUUCUAAGUGAUGGCAAUUCCAUCAUAAUGUUUGUUUGACUUGCAAAUUAUCGGGACUUUUAAUAUUUUAAGCACAUGAUGCCUACUUGGUUUUAGUCACAUUAAACCAAACUUGUUUUAGUGAUCGACUAAUUCAGUUUUUUGUUUAAGUCACUUGUUGUGAUGAUCGAUUACCUUGGGAAUUUUAGUUAACAUAUAAUUUGGAGGUGGAAUUUUUUUUUUGGUCAAUUAGGUGGUUUGUUUCAAUUCCAAUCAAAUACUUCAUUAAUUAAAUAUUGACCGAAUUAUUUUAUCAUGAUGUCAACCUCUUACAAAAUAAAAUUCAUUCCAAUCUUG
rnacentral:lncRNA from 1 species